rnacentral:rRNA from 1 species
UGGGGAAUUUUGGGCAAUGGGCGAAAGCCUGACCCAGCAACGCCGCGUGAAGGAUGAAGUAUUUCGGUAUGUAAACUUCGAAAGAAUAGGAAGAAUAAAUGACGGUACUAUUUAUAAGGUCCGGCUAACUACGUGCCAGCAGCCGCGGUAAUACGUAGGGACCAAGCGUUGUUCGGAUUUACUGGGCGUAAAGGGCGCGUAGGCGGCAAUUCAAGUCAUCUGUGAAAUCUCCGGGCUUAACUCGGAACGGUCAGAUGAUACUGCUUUGCUAGAGUGCAGAAGGGGCAAUCGGAAUUCUUGGUGUAGCGGUGAAAUGCGUAGAUAUCAAGAGGAACACCUGAGGUGAAGACGGGUUGCUGGGCUGACACUGACGCUGAGGCGCGAAAGCCGGGGGAGCAAACGGGAUUAGAUACCCGUGUAGUCCCUGAGCGGGCUGGCAAGGCGCAU